GCCAAUGCGAGAGUGUUCGCUCAAUGUGAGCGACGGUAAAUUUGACAUCGUUCUCUCUUCUGACUGCUGUUAUCAGUCUCUCUCAAUUUUUUUCCUUUGAUUGAAAGUCUUGAAAACACUAUCCUGGAGUUUUUCUUUUGCUAUUUGAGCAAAUGGGAAUGCAAAAAAUAUAUUUGUGGUACCCUCUCAUUCACUGCUGUCGGAUUUUACCCAACUAUGACGACUUCCGCUGCUGAGAAACCCGGAAAUGUAAGAAAGGUCCCAUCUCAAAGUUCAUGCCAGUAGGAUGACAAGAAAACUAAAAGAGAUGUCAGUGAGAGAACAAAAUACAGCUGAAGAAAAAGAAAAACAGAGAAAGGAAAGUGCACUGAGAGACGAAGCCAAACCUGCACAGAAUGCCUGCAGAGGACAGCUACAAAUACACCGGAUAAACAGCCUUAACAAGCAUCGACCAAAGUUCUUCCUUCAUCUAUUCUGACCUGCAGAGUGUCAUUCUGUGUGAGGGACAUUCAAGAAUGAGAAAGAAGCCUUUUUCUCACCUAGAAUGUUCUUCACAUCACUUUCAGUCAAUGAUUCCAAAUGAGACUGGAAUACAAAACACCAAUAUUUUUGUGUUCAUACCUAUACAACUGUACUGUGUACAUAUUUUAUUUAAACAGAUUUAAUAUUGUGCACAGAGUCUUAUAUAUGUGUCAUAUGAAAGUAAUAUGAUCAGACAAUGUGAAAACAGCACUGAAAUCAAAUGUUUGAACUGCAGCUUUACAUAGUUUUCAUUUCUAUUAUGCGCAGCAUUGAGAACAAUGACUGUAAAGCAGUUGUUCCAGAAAGGCCAGGUCACUCUUUUCAAUGUGAUUAUACAGUGAGACCGGAGACUUCCUAAAGCUUCAUGGUUUGGUUUGUGGACAGAUUGUCUAGAUUUUAACUAUAGUCCUGUGACUUCAGACACUUUAUUCUGGCAUGCAGAAGAUGAUUAUUCUUCUUUAAACGUGUCAUUACUGUACUCGUACUUUCCGUUUAGAAGGUGUUUAUAUCUGAAGCAUCUAGUAACUGGUGUCAUGUGUCUCGUUCAGGUGCACAAUGAUCUCUGUUUUUGAACUAAAUGAUCACUGAGAUUGAGUUUCUGUAUUGUUUUGAUUCUGUUCACUUUGUGAAAGGUUAUGAAAGUGUCCAAGUGUACAUUACACUGUCCUCAUUCCUGAACAGGUGUUUGUUCUCAGUCAUCAUGAUGAUUACCCAAAUAUAAGUGUCUGCUGCAUUGCAUUCCACAAUAAAUAUUUCACUUCAGCCAACAAAUAUGACCUUCUAUAUCUUGACUUAUCACAUAGAAAUAUAUAGAAUAUCUAAAGUGGUCAAAGAUGCUUUGAGUAGUUUAUAGCGUUAAUAAAUAAGUAACUCCUCUACUGAACACGUGACUCAACACAAGGUCAUUUCCCUGAAGUCUGAAUUUUAACCUUAAUCAGAUUGCGUCAUUUUGUAUUACAACCAAGCGAGUCUACAGUGCAGAAACAUUAUGUGUGAUGUUGGUUUAUGACUGUUUUUAUGACUUAAUGCUUAUUGAGCAACAUACAAAUCUGGUACAUGCAUUUAAGAAGAUGCUCUUUGUGUUUUAAAACAUUAUAGGCACUGAAUCGCCAUCAAAAACACUCCCAAAACAAUUUAAUGCGUUUUUGUUUUACUGCAGAAGGUGAAAAAGAAGCUCAAACAUAUUUCAUUCAUGUUUGCUCAAUAUUUCAUUGCCAGAUCAGAGAUUUGACUCGGUUUGACUUAGUAUUUUUCACAAUAUCAAUAAAGCU